rfam:Pteropus alecto contig48167, whole genome shotgun sequence.
GUCUACGGCCACGCCACCCUGAGCGAGCCCGAUCCCGUCUGAUCUCGGAAGCUAAGCGGGGUUGGGCCUGGUUAGUACUUGGAUGGGAGACCACCUAGGAAGACCAGGUGCUGUAGGCA